GGGUCGUUAGCUCAGUCGGUAGAGCAGCGGACUUUUAAUCCGUUGGUCGCGCGUUCGAGUCGCGCACGACCCA
rfam:Paenalcaligenes hominis strain 15S00501, complete genome.